UUUUAAAUUUAGAGUUUGAUCCUGGCUCAGGACGAACGCUGGCGGCGUGCUUAACACAUGCAAGUCGAGCGAUGAAGCUUCCUUCGGGAAGUGAAUUAGCGGCGGACGGGUGAGUAACACGUGGGUAACCUGCCUCAAAGUGGGGGAUAGCCUUCCGAAAGGAAGAUUAAUACCGCAUAAUAUAAGAGAAUCGCAUGAUUUUCUUAUCAAAGAUUUAUUGCUUUGAGAUGGACCCGCGGCGCAUUAGCUAGUUGGUAAGGUAACGGCUUACCAAGGCAACGAUGCGUAGCCGACCUGAGAGGGUGAUCGGCCACAUUGGAACUGAGACACGGUCCAGACUCCUACGGGAGGCAGCAGUGGGGAAUAUUGCGCAAUGGGGGAAACCCUGACGCAGCAACGCCGCGUGGGUGAUGAAGGUCUUCGGAUUGUAAAGCCCUGUUUUCUAGGACGAUAAUGACGGUACUAGAGGAGGAAGCCACGGCUAACUACGUGCCAGCAGCCGCGGUAAUACGUAGGUGGCGAGCGUUGUCCGGAUUUACUGGGCGUAAAGGGUGCGUAGGCGGAUGUUUAAGUGGGAUGUGAAAUCCCCGGGCUUAACCUGGGGGCUGCAUUCCAAACUGGAUAUCUAGAGUGCAGGAGAGGAAAGCGGAAUUCCUAGUGUAGCGGUGAAAUGCGUAGAGAUUAGGAAGAACACCAGUGGCGAAGGCGGCUUUCUGGACUGUAACUGACGCUGAGGCACGAAAGCGUGGGUAGCAAACAGGAUUAGAUACCCUGGUAGUCCACGCCGUAAACGAUGGAUACUAGGUGUAGGGGGUAUCAACUCCCCCUGUGCCGCAGUUAACACAAUAAGUAUCCCGCCUGGGGAGUACGGUCGCAAGAUUAAAACUCAAAGGAAUUGACGGGGGCCCGCACAAGCAGCGGAGCAUGUGGUUUAAUUCGAAGCAACGCGAAGAACCUUACCUGGACUUGACAUCCCUUGCAUAGCCUAGAGAUAGGUGAAGCCCUUCGGGGCAAGGAGACAGGUGGUGCAUGGUUGUCGUCAGCUCGUGUCGUGAGAUGUUAGGUUAAGUCCUGCAACGAGCGCAACCCUUGUUAUUAGUUGCUACCAUUAAGUUGAGCACUCUAAUGAGACUGCCUGGGUAACCAGGAGGAAGGUGGGGAUGACGUCAAAUCAUCAUGCCCCUUAUGUCCAGGGCUACACACGUGCUACAAUGGUAGGUACAAUAAGACGCAAGACCGUGAGGUGGAGCAAAACUUAUAAAACCUAUCUCAGUUCGGAUUGUAGGCUGCAACUCGCCUACAUGAAGCUGGAGUUGCUAGUAAUCGCGAAUCAGAAUGUCGCGGUGAAUACGUUCCCGGGCCUUGUACACACCGCCCGUCACACCAUGAGAGCUGGUAACACCCGAAGUCCGUGAGGUAACCGUAAGGAGCCAGCGGCCGAAGGUGGGAUUAGUGAUUGGGGUGAAGUCGUAACAAGGUAGCCGUAGGAGAACCUGCGGCUGGAUCACCUCCUUUCUA
rnacentral:rRNA from 1 species